rnacentral:rRNA from 1 species
CGUACGGCGGACGGGUGAGGAACACGUGGGGUAAUCUGCCCUUUGCAGAGGGAUAACGUUAAGAAAUUGACGCUAAUACCUCAUAAGCUCCCGAUACGGCAUCGUAGCGAGAGAAAAGAUUUAUCGGCAAAGGAGGAGCCCGCGGCUGAUUAGCUAGUUGGAGAGGUAACGGCUCACCAAGGCGACGAUCAGUAGCCGACCUGAGAGGGUGAUCGGCCACAUUGGAACUGAGACACGGUCCAAACUCCUACGGGAGGCAGCAG